CCGUCAAUUCAUUUGAGUUUCACCGUUGCCGGCGUACUCCCCAGGUGGAUAACUUAACGCUUUCGCUGUGGCACCGACCAGAUUCGGCCGACACCUAGUUAUCAUCGUUUACAGUGUGGACUACCAGGGUAUCUAAUCCUGUUUGAUACCCACACUUUCGUGCAUGAGUGUCAGUAAAAGCCAAGUGAGCUGCCUACGCAAUUGGAGUUCUUGAUAAUAUCUAUGCAUUUCACCGCUACACUAUCAAUUCCGCCCACCUCUACUUUACUCAAGUCUACCAGUUUCAAUGGCACUGCAAUCGUUGAGCGACCGUCUUUCACCACUGACUUAAUAAACCACCUGCGCACCCUUUAAACCCAAUAAAUCCGGACAACGCUUGCACCCUCCGUAUUACCGCGGC
rnacentral:misc_RNA from 1 species